ACUGGGUGCGGUGGCGCACACCUGUAAUCUCAGCAGCUUGGGAGGCUGAAGCAGGAGGAUCCCGAGUUCAGAGCCAGCCUCAGCAAGGGUGAGGCACUGAGCAACUCAGGGAGACCCUGUCUCUA
rnacentral:sRNA from 1 species